UUGAAUAGGCAGCCGAGACUCGCCCGAAGGCAGGCGGGUGCGGGGGACCCGAUCAGGUGGGGCGAAUUCUUCACCGCUGUUUCGACACGGCGGCAGGAGAUAGGGCACUUUCAAGCCCGAGCCCGUCAGCUAACCUCGUAGGCAUAUGAAAGGGCCGUG
rnacentral:sRNA from 1 species